AAAAGCAAUGAUGAAACCAAGAAACACAUGCAUACAUGUUUGACAUGAUUACACAUUUGUUAAUGGUUACGAAAUGUUUAUCAUGCAUGUUAUUAAACGUUUAAUUCAAGGUUUUUAAGGGUAUACUUAGGAUGGUUAUAAACUUUCCUACUGAGUUGUGAACUCACCCUAUUCCUUUCACCUAUAGAUGCAAGUCAGAAGACCUAUGCAGGAAAGAAUGCUUGAGCAAUGCUUUACUGUGAUUGGAUGCUGUUUGCUCAUAUUGAAAGUCUUUUGAGGCCAUGCCUUUUGUAUCAAGACUACACCUUUUGUUGGAAUGAUGUAAUGUAUAUAUUUGUUAGAUACACUUGUAGUAUGGGCCACCCAUAGUAAACAAUGGGGUUGGGUAUAUGUAAAUUAAUGUUGUACAAGUUUCUUUUGUGAAACAAAACAUAUUUUGUUAACUUAAUAGUCACAAUGUUUAAUACAAAAUGUACUCUUUAUAACAGGUUUUCUAUAUCCUCUUUUUGAACAAAUUCAAGUAGGAACUCAACAUUUAAAUUUUUGAGAGCACUUAUACUAUAUUUGAGUAUCAAUUCUUUAGUUGAAGAAUAAAUAAUAAUCAUANNNNNNNNNNNNNNNNNNNNNNNNNNNNNNNNNNNNNNNNNNNNNNNNNNNNNNNNNNNNNNNNNNNNNNNNNNNNNNNNNNNNNNNNNNNNNNNNNNNNAGCAAAUUAUCACGUCUGUGAAAGGAUGGAUGGGGAAAAGCAAUGAUGAAACCAAGAAACACAUGCAUACAUGUUUGACAUGAUUACACAUUUGUUAAUGGUUACGAAAUGUUUAUCAUGCAUGUUAUUAAACGUUUAAUUCAAGGUUUUUAAGGGUAUACUUAGGAUGGUUAUAAACUUUCCUACUGAGUUGUGAACUCACCCUAUUCCUUUCACCUAUAGAUGCAAGUCAGAAGACCUAUGCAGGAAAGAAUGCUUGAGCAAUGCUUUACUGUGAUUGGAUGCUGUUUGCUCAUAUUGAAAGUCUUUUGAGGCCAUGCCUUUUGUAUCAAGACUACACCUUUUGUUGGAAUGAUGUAAUGUAUAUAUUUGUUAGAUACACUUGUAGUAUGGGCCACCCAUAGUAAACAAUGGGGUUGGGUAUAUGUAAAUUAAUGUUGUACAAGUUUCUUUUGUGAAACAAAACAUAUUUUGUUAACUUAAUAGUCACAAUGUUUAAUACAAAAUGUACUCUUUAUAACAGGUUUUCUAUAUCCUCUUUUUGAACAAAUUCAAGUAGGAACUCAACAUUUAAAUUUUUGAGAGCACUUAUACUAUAUUUGAGUAUCAAUUCUUUAGUUGAAGAAUAAAUAAUAAUCAUAAGAAAAAAAAAAUUGGGGUGUGACAUAGUGCUUGUAACAAUCCUACUGGCUUCUAAUGUUCAACUUUCACUUGUUGACAUGUUAAACACUUGAAAACGAAUUGAGCUAUAUCCCGCUUCAUACCUUGCCACCAACAUUGAUGCCUCAAAUCAUGGUACAUUUUAGUUUCUCCAGGGUGUAUUGUGAACCGAGAUUGAUGAGCUUCCUUCAUUACCUCCUCCUUCACCUAAGCAUCAUUAGGAACACCAAGUUUAUUGAAGAAAUAAAUCCCACCAUUAGAAUGUAUGCUCCAAUCUUCCACUGUGUCACCUGCCAUAAUUCGAGGGCCCAUGCCCUCUAACUUUGUAUCUUUCUUUUGAGCUUCAUUAACCUUAUGCAAUGCUGUUGGUUGAGCCACCAAAGUACAAAAACAUGCACCAGAAUCACGUACAUGAAAACAAGGAUUGAACUCAUUGAUUUAAUCAUACAUUUUCCACUCAGAAACUACCAACCCAGAUAACACACAUGGAGCUUUUUUACUUAAGGCAUCAACAACCACAUUGGCUCUUCCUGGAUGAUACUGCAAGGUAAAGUUAAAAUCUUCAAGGGUUUCCAUCCAUCCUCUUUGCCUUGCAUUCAAAUCUAUUUGAGAGAAAAUUUACUUCAAACUUUUGUGAUCAGAAAACACCUCAAAUUUUUCACCAUAUAAGUAAUGUCUCCAUAUCUUUAAAGCAAAGACUAUGGCUGCGAGUCCAAGAUCAUUUGUGGGAUAGUUCUGCUCAUGGUUCUUCAAUUGCCUAGAAGCAUAAGCAACCACUCUUCCUCUUUACAUCAAAACACAUCCCAAGCCAUUUGUUGAAGCAUCACAAUAAACUCUAUAUCUUUUGCCACUAAUAGGAGUAAUUAGCGCUGGCGCUGUUGUUAGUCUCCUUUUUAGCUCUUGAAAGGAUUCUUCACACUUGUCAUUCCAAUCAAAGUUCACUCCUUUGCACGUCAGUCGAGAAAAGUUUUUAACAAACCUUUUGUAGUACCCUGCCAAUCCAAGAAAACUACGUAACAACUUCCACUUUUGUUGGGUCCACUGAGAUACCCUUGUGAGAAACCAUGUGGCAAAAAUUGAAUUUCUUGCAACCAAAAGUCACAUUUCUCCAAUUUGGCAUAUAACUGGUGUUCUCUAAGUGUUUGAAGUGCCAUAUGCAAAUGAUGAUCGUGCUCUUCUUAGCUCUUAGAAUAUAUCAAAAUAUCAUCCACAAAAUGAUCCAAGUAAGGCCGAUAAAUACGAUUCAUCAUGUCCAUGAAUACAGUUGGAGCAAUUGUUAACCCAAAUGGCAUGACCACAAAUUCAUAAUGCCCAUACCUUGUACGAAAUGGAGUCCUUGGAAUAUUUGAUUCUCGUAUCCUCAACUGAUGAGAACAGGAUCUUAAAUCAAUCUUUGAAAAAUUGCAAGCCCCACAUAAUUGGUCAAAUAAGUCAUCAAUUCGAGGUAAUGGAUAUUUGUUUUUCACUGUUAUUCUGUUCAAUUUUCUGUAAUCCACACAUAACCGCAAGGAUCCAUCCUUCUUCUUCACAAAAAAAAUAUUGGAGCACCCCAAGGUGAGUUACUAGGCCGAUUAACCCUUUACUUUGAAACUCUUUCAACUGAAUGUUCAAUUCUUUAAGUUCAACUGGAGCCAUUCUAUAUGGAGCUAUUGAUAUUGGAUUUAUACCUAGAUACAAUUCUAUAGAAAAAUCCAUCUCUUUAUGAGGAGGUAAAAAUGGCAAUUCUUUUGGAAAAACAUCAACAAAUUCACAAACCAUUGGAAUGCAAUAUAUAGUUGUUUUCUUUUUCCCUUCUCCCUACACAUUAAAAAGAAAAUAGUGUCCACCAUCCUUUCUUGACCACUUGUCACCUAGGUUUUGAAUUAAUGGAAUAAAUGUAAGCCUUCUGUCACCAUAGAAACUCAAAUAUGAACCAAAAGAGGUUUGGAAUGUUACUUCCUUCAAAUAAAAAUCUAAUACAGCAUGAUGCCGGUCCAGCCAAUCCAUCCCCACAAUUACUUCAAAGGACAAAAUAUCAAGAAUAACCAAAUCUAUUGUAACUUCAAGACCCCUAAUAUAAAGUACACAAGCAUGACACACCCACUUGGUUUCCACACCCAUAGGAGUCUCAUUACAUAAUGAACAAUGAAGGGGAACAAAUUCUCUGUUUACCAUGGAGGCAAAUGAUGCAGAAAUAAAAGAGUGGGUAGCUCUUGGAUCAAAUAAAACAUUUGCCCAAGUGCUAAAACAUAAGAUCAUAACUUCCACUAAGGCAUUUGACUCUGCAUUUUGUGACCCCAAUGCAUAAAAUCUCCCUUGUUGUCCUUGCUCUGGCUUCUAUCCAGGCUUCCCUUGUCUAAAGUUUCCUUUCCCUUGAGGUUGCGUUCCUUGGAUUCGUGAGUUCGUCUGCUGAAACUGCCAUUGAGGUGGUUGGUAUGCAGAACGUUGAAAUUUUCGGCACUCCCUCCUAAGAUGUCCCACCUCACCACAUUCAUAACAUCUCCUUGGUCCCUUGGCCAUAUCUGUAGUCCCACUAAACUGCUAUUGUUUUUGGGUUAUUGUUGGGGAUGAGUCACUUUCUUGCGCUUGAAAUCUUGUUUCGAUUUUUCUAUACCAAGAGCCCUUGUCACAACCUCAUUGUAAGUACGAAGCAUGAAGGGGGCCACUUGUGCUCUAAUAUGUUUAAUCUCAACCCCUCUUGGAAUUGUUCAACUCGCAUUUGUUCAUCUGCAACCACAUUCGGAGCAUAUCUAGAUAGUUGUGUAAACUUUGCUGCAUAUUCAAUCACUGUCAUAUUCCUUUGAGACAAGCGUAUAAAUUCAACUCUUUUUUGUCUUCUAACGGCCUCUGGAAAGUAAUUAGCCAAAAGCAGCUCCUCAAUUUGCAUCCAAACCAUCUUAGUUACAUCUCGAGUAGUCUUGAUCAUAUCCCACCAGCUGUCUGCUUCAUCCCUCAACAUGAACAAAGCUAAAGAAACUCUCCUUUCCUCAGGCACUGCCAUUGCAUCUAGUAUCUUCUUUAUUUCUUUCAUCCAAUUCUUAGCUUCAAGAAAAUUAGGACCACCUUGAAAGAUUGGAGGAUUCAAUGCUUUAAAUUCCUGAAUCAAGCUCACAUUCUGGCAUUCUGAACCAGUAGUUGGAUAUAUUGCAGCUCUUCCCUUAGUUACAUUACCAUGAGAUAGUGGAGAUGAUCUAGUUGUUCAUCUAGGCCUUGUUGUUAAUCGAUUCCUUGCUCUAGGUAUACAAUGAUUAGAUUAUCAACACAACACAUUUUAUAAGGGUUAUUCAUUAUAUCAAGCAUCCUUACAUAAUACAAUUAAACCAUUGAUGUCACAUACAAUCAUUUUGAAAACAAACAUAAUACCAACAAUAACAUAGUAAUGGAUUCUCAAUGAUCAGAAAUUCUCACAAGCAACAUGAUCACAACUAUCACAGUUAGGCAUACUCACACCAAUACAACCAAAAAUGUCAUAAACACAAACCUAACAUUCAUCAUUUAACCUUUCACCUUAAUAUCAAUAUAUCAUGCAUAGUAAAAGAGUGUAACAAUAAUAAUGACUAAAGUGCACCUAUUGGGCUCCCCACCUAUGGUCCACAAUAGGCAUUUAAUCCCUUAUGCUCUAAUACCAAGCUGUCACACACUGAUUUUUUUUUUUUCAAAUUGAACAAUUGAUACUCAAAUACAGUAUAAGUGCUCUCAAAGAGUGCAUCUUGUAUUAAACUUUGUAACUAUUAGUUAACAAAAUAUGUUUCGUUUUGCAAAAGAAACUUGUACUACAUUAAUUUACAUAUCCCAAAACCCCAUUGUUCACUACGUGUAGCCCAUACUACGAGUUUACCUAACAUAUAUAUAUAUAUAUAUUACAUCAUUCCUUCAAAAAAUUCAAUCUUUAAUACAAAGGCAAACAUCAUCCAAUCACAGUAAAGCAAUGCUCAAGCAUUAUUUCCUACAUAGGUCUUCUGACCUGCAUCUAAAGGUGGAACAGAUAAGGUGAGUUCACAACUUGGUAGGAAAAUUUAUAACCAUUCUAAGCUUACCCUUAAAAAAUUUGAAUUAAACAUGUAGUAGCAUGCAUGAUAAACAUUUUAUAACCAUUAACAAAUAUGCAAUCAUGUCAAACAUAUAUGCAUGUUUGUUGGUUUCAUCUUUAUUUUUCCUUGUCCAUCCUUUCACAAUUGAUAUUGUUCACCCCCACCAAUCUAUAUAUCAGAUAUCAAUGCUACAUAAGAUACACGAUCAAUAUAAUAAUGACUAUUCUGGGACAUAACCCAAGGGCAAGUCACAUCCCAUGUCUUUUGGGACUCAUACCCAAGGGCAGGGCCAACCUUGUUUCUUUAAGGACUAAAAUCCAGAGGCAGGACCAACACCAUACACCCACAUUUGAGUGUCUUCCUCGAGGGCUUUAGGGACGUUCACCCAAGGACCCACGAUCCCACAUAAACAAUAUAUCUAAAGAUAAUGUCUGUAGCAUCGUAUAAAUAAUUCCCACCAAUCAAUUCUCUGACUAUGAUCUGUGAUUAUUCCAUAUCCUUCUGUCAAUGCAACCACGCUAUGAACCAUUUCCACAACACAAAACCAUGAAUCUUCAUACCAAUAUGCUUUCCAAUCUCAAUGUAACAUUUCAACACAAUAAAUCGAGAUGCAAUGACACAUUAAAACCUUUUAUGAAAUCAUAGAAAUGACAUGAAAUUUCCAAUAAAUGUUUCAAGAAAAGAAAUUAGAUACACUAUGGGAUUGCAUAAAAUUCCUUACCUUACACAAACUUUCCCUCUGUGAUUGUUCUAUGUAGGCGAUCUUUACCUAUUAUAAGGAACUGAAAUGAAACACAUAAUUUAGACUUCCUUACAAUGAAUUGAAACUUGUAUUCCUAAAGGUUUUCAAAUCUAAUUUGAAUUGAAUUAAACAAUAUUUACAAUACAUAUUAAUAUUCUGCAAUUAAUUACUAAACACUAACUGCUUCAAUUUUCUAAAAGCCUAACCUAUUAACAAAUCCCAAGUGUCCAAGUAACCUAAUUAAUCACAUGUUCACUAAUAUAUUUUUCAAUUAAACAAGAUUUAUACUGAUCUUACCAUUAAUAAAAUACUUUAAUCCCUAAUUAAUUAUGAUUUUUAACUAAAACAUGUUUAUAGCUAAUUACACUCAACUUUUACACAAAUUUUACCGUUUAUUUGUUUCAGCAUACCAUUUUAGGAACUAAAAUAAACCAAAAUUACUAAAUUAAACAACUUGCUUACCUCAAAUCUUCACUUUCUCUCUCAAGAUUCUCUCUAACCCAAGCUGCUACAGCUAAAAUGGGGCAAAACGAGCUGCAAGCCCUUAUACUCCCUCUGCAGCCAAGUAGGAGGUGGCAGGCCACAUGGCUGCCACCAAUCCACCCAAGUAGGAGGUGGCAUGCCACUUGGCUUCCACUAACUACAACUUCCCAAUUUUGCACUUUAGUCCUUCAAGUUAUCAAAAAUAAAACCCAUAAUUGCCCUUUAGUCCUUUAGGUUUUCAAAACUAUAAUCAGCCCCUAAAAACCUAAGAAGCAUUGUUAAGUCAUUAACUAAUCUCAAUUAACCUUAAUCAAACUUUAAUUCAUAAUUAAAUAGGAUUAAAACUAAACUAGUUUUAACAUCUAAUUAAGCACGUUUAAAGUUGAGUACUGUGAUCAUCAUUAUUACCUAUUUAAUUCAUUAGUGCUAGGUAUUACAUUGUUUAUGUGGGACCGUGGGUCCUUAGGUGAAAGUCCCUAGAGCCCUCGAGGAAGACACUCUGAUGUGGGUGUAUGUGGUUGGUCCUGCCCUUUGGUUUUAGUCCCUAAAGAUACGGGGUUGGUCAUUCUCUUAGGUAUGAGUCCAAGAAGACACGGGGUAUGAUUUACCCUUAGGUGAUAGUCCCAGAAUAAUCAUAUUAUUAUAUUGACCGAGUAUCUUGUGCAGCAUUGAUAUCUGGUGUGUACAUUGCUGGGGGUUAUCAGUUGUGAAAGGAUGGAUGAGGAAAAAUAGAGAUGAAACCAGCAAAUGCAUGCAUACGUGUUUGACAUUAUUAUUGCAUAUUUGAUAACGAUUAUAAAAUGUUUAUCACACAUGCUAUUAUACGUUUAAUUCAAGGUUUUUAAGGGUAUGUUUAGGAUGGUUAUAAACUUUCCUACUGAGGUUUGAACUCACCCUAUCCCUUCCACCUUUAGAUGAAGGUGAGAAGACCUAUGCUGGAAAUAAUUCUUGAGCAUUGCUUUUCUAUUGAUUGGAUGUUGUUUGCUUGCAUUGAAAGUGUUUUGAGGCUUUGCCUUUGUGUCAUACAAAGACUCAAUCUUUUUGAAGGAAUGAUGCAAUGUAUAUUUGUUAUGUACACUUGCAAUAUGGGCUACCCAAAGUGAACUAUGGGGUUGUAUGUAAAGUAACAUAGUACAAUUUCUUUUUGUGAAAUGGAUCAUAUUUUGUUAACUAAUAGUUACAAAGUUUAAUAUAGGAUGUAUACCUCUUUAUAACCGGUUUCCAUGUUCUCUUUUUGCACAAAAUCAACUAGGAACCUACAUUUAAAUUUUUGUAUCCCCAAAUUUUUUAAAGCACUUAUGUUGUAUUUGAGUAUCAAUUGUUAAGUUCUAAAAACCAGGGUGUGACAAGGAUGGUGUCCCAAUGAUAAGAAUCCAAAAUACUAAAUAAUAAAAAUUGAGAUAGAACCUAGGAAAGUGGCCUUAUGACAAGAAACCAAAGGAAAAAAGAAUAUAAGUUCAGACAAAACUUAGGAAACCAAAGGAAAAAAGAAUAUAAGUUGAGACAAAACUUAGGAUGGCGUACCAAUGAUGAGAAACCAAAGGAACAAAGAAUAAACUAAGAUAGAACCCAAGAAGCUUAUCCGACGAUGAGAAACCAAAGAACAAAGAAUAAACCGAGAUAGAACCUAGAAUGUUGUCCCAAUGAUGAGAAACUAUUGGAACAAAGACAAAACUUACUAUGAACCUAGGAUAGUGUCGCAAAGAUGACAAACCAAAGAAAGAAACAAAUCAUCUUUCAUAGAACCUACAAUGGUGGCCCAUUGAUUAGAAACCAAAGAUAUAAAGAAACAACUGAGAUAGAACCAAGGAUGAUGUACCAAUGAUAAGAAACUUAGAACCUAGGAUGUGUUCGGAUGAUGAGAAACCAAAUGAGCAAAGAAUAAACUAAGAGAAAACAUAGGAUGUUGUCCCAAUGAUGAGAAACCAAUGGAAAAAAGAAAAAACUUAGACUGAGUCUAAGAUGGUGUCCCAAAAAUGAUAAACCACACGAACAAAUUAUUAAGCUUAAAUAGGCUUAAAUAGAACCUAUAAUGAUGAGAAACGAAAUGAAAAAAGUAUAAAAUGGGAUAGAACAUAAGAUGGUGUCCCAAUGAUGAGAAUUCAAAGGAACAAACAAUUAAACUUAAAUAGAACCUCGGAUGACGUUCCAAUGAUGAGAAACCAAAUGAAAAAGGAAUAACCUGAGAUAGCAAAAUGUUGUCCAAGUGACGAGAAACCAAAGAAAUAACUGAGCUUGGUGCCCAAAUGAAGAGAAACGAAAUGAACCGAGAAAGAAAGUAGGAUAGUGUCCCAUGGAUGAGAAUCCAAAGGAACGAAGAUGAAACUUAGGUUGAACUUAGGAUUGUGUCGCAAAGAUGAGAAACCAAAAGAAGAAACAAAUCAGAUUUGAUAGAACCUACGAUGGCGUCCCAUUAAUGAGAAACUAAAGGAACAAAGAAAAAAAUGAGAUAGAUUCUAGGAUGGUAUGCCAAUGAUGAGAAACUAAAGGAAAACAAAGAAGAAACUUAGAUAGAACCUAGGAUUGCAUCCAAAUGAAAUGAACAAAGAAUAAACAGAGAAAGAAUGAAGGAUGGUGUCCUAAUGAUGAGAAUCCAAAGGAACAACGACAAAACUUAGGUUGAACCUAGGAUAGUCUCUCAAAGAUAAGAAACCAAAGGAAGAAACAAAUCAGCUUUGAUAGAACCUAUGAUGGCGUCCUAAUGAUGAGAAAACCAAAGGCAUAAAGAAAAAACUGAGAUACAACCUAGGAUGGACUUAGAGAGAUCCUAGGAUAACGUUCCAAUAGCCAAAAACAAAAUGAAUAAGAAAAAAUUGAGAUAGAUCCUAGGAAGGUAUGCCAAUGACGAGAAACUAAAAUGGAAAAAAAGAAGAAACUUAGAUAGAACCUAGGAUGGCAUCCAAAUGAGAAAUGAAAUGAACAAAGACUAAACAGAGAAUGGUGUCCCAAUGAUGAGAAUCCAAAGGAAAAAUGACAAAGCUUAGGUUGAACCUAGGAUAGUGUCUAUGGAGUUCAUCACUGCCGGAGUAGUUCACCACCAUUGAAGCUCGCUAGUUCGUUUAUAAAGAGUCAUCACCGCCAUUAGAGUUCAUUGUCAUCGGAGAGCAAUAUUCAUCACAGCCAUUGCAGUCCACCGACAGUGAGAAAGGAUCAUCAGACACCCAUCUUUGGAGCUUCAUAUUCAAGGAUGGAAUCUCCAUUUUCCUUUGGAUAUCCAUUUUCCGAGGGAACAAAAUAUCACACCUGCAUCAUUAUUCUUUUUUGGUUUCCGCGAACAUCAGAUUUUUCUACCAUUUCAAAUUAGUGCUCACCAUUCUUCACCCUCAUCUUGUCUGCAAGAGUCGCCAUUCUUGUUAUCCUUUUUUUCUACACUCUUUUUAACUUUUCUUUUUUGCAUUUGGUUGCUGAGAAAAUCUAUAUUUUCCGGUCCUUAAGUUUCUAUGACAUCACAAACUUGCAAGUAUAUUCUUGCCUUUCAAAUGGGUGUUUCUAAGAUUCCUGCUCUUUUUUUUCUUCGGUCCUUUGAUUUCUCAGCAACAAAAAAGAUCACAUUUGGAAAACUGUUCCGCAACUAGGAUCGCUAACCCUACAUCAUUAACGGAAACUGUUUAGUUAAGAGGAAGAAUUUUUUUCAUAAUUUCCCUGGAACCCUAAUUUUUGUUUGGUUGCCCCAAAAAAAACAAGGAAAGACAGAAAUUGACUACCUGAACUUUGGAUGUUGCUUUUGCUUCGUAGGGUAUUGGAUCAUUAGAAGAUUCUAAAAAAUAAAGAGUAAAAAACAAAAUGGUGGCUAUCAAGGUACAUAUUAGCUCUUAUUCUUAUCUAACUCCUUUUCUUUUCCUCUGUUUUAAAUCAUGAUCAAAUUUUUCGUCUCCAUAAAUGUAGGGAAAAUUGAAUGCAGCUUCAAGUCGAGUUGCAGGAAAAAAAAUAAAAAUCUAAAGAGUUGUACAUUUUACAUUGUUUCUAUAAUGAGAAAUUUUAUAUUCUCAUGUAUUAAUUUGGAUGCUCUGUUUCUAAAACAGUUGGCUUAAGUUUCAAGAUUUAUUUUGAGAAUGAGAGGGUUAACGUUGGUUCCCGUGAUUUUGUUGGUACUGGUUUGAUGUUUAUCAUUUGGCUUUCAACAAUAAGUUUUUGUUGAUGGCUAUCUCAGAAUUCAAUGUUAUGUUUUCAAUUUUUUUAGUAGAACCAUGAGACCCUAAUCCCAAUAAGGUGUGUGAUUUUACCAACUUUUCAACUAGUAAUGUAUAGAUUUUAGACAAAACAGAGGAAAUGAAAAGGAAAAUGAAAAUUUGAGUCUCGUGUUUUAUGUUUUUGUUCACUAAAAAUUGGAAAAAAACAAAAGAAAAAAAAAACCCACCUUAAUUUACCUAACUGGUUUUGUAAAGCUCAAUCCAGUGGAGAUUCUGCUAUUGUUGGGCUCUAAUUCCCAAAUAGCAACCAUUUAUGACUGACAAUUUCCAAAGCCUAUUUGAUUGGGUUCUAAGAUAGUGUAGGUGAAGAAUGAAGGUUAAAAUUCUUGAAUCUUAGGUUUGACAUUUUCUGGUACCCAAGAGAACAAAAGUCUCCCUUAGGUAUCCCUAUUAUGGCUAUUUUGCUUGGAAGAGAAAGCCUUUUUGUUAACUUGUGUUUUUUUUAACCUUUAUCUGUAGGAGGAAAUCUGUGCAGUUCAAUAAAGGGACUGCUCAGAGCAAUUCAAGUGAUUCAAAAGUUAUUUCAAUUGCUCCUCUUCUUUUAGCAUUUGUUGAUUUUGGCGAUUGUUUGGUAAGGUUUGUAGUAUGAUGCUUUAGAAGUCUUUAUUCAUUAUUUUCCUUUUGAUAUAAAGGGGAAUUUGAAGGGUUUCUAGAAGGAAAAAGGCAAGCGGAAUAGUUCCUAUAAGGCCCAACUAGACUAGGUCUAUAGCACAAACUACUGAUGUUUGUUAUAAGAAAGAAGGAAUUGGUGUUUAGUAGGGGGAGAAAUAUGCAUUGGAAUAAGUAAAAGAGGACGAAAUCUGCUAAAGGAAAAAAGACAACAAUUACUCAAUUGGAAAGGGUGAAGCUUCACUAACAAAGAGUAACCGAGUAACAAUCCCAAGGUGGUUUGGGUAAUUCAUUUAUCUCUCAAAGCUUGAGCAAAGGUAACUUAAGGGAAAUAAAUUUGAGCAUGCAACAGCAUAACAUCCUCCCCCCUUCUUCCGUCUCUCUCUGAUAUUGCUUGCACCCUAUUAUGUGUUCAGCAUAAUGCCAAAGUAGUGUUAUUAGGGCAAAAUAUUUGCAUCCUUUGUUCUCAUCCUUUUUUAUCCUUUGCUUCCAGCCAUGAAGUACUGACAAUUUUCUUGUUGAUUAAUAGGGUAAAGUGGGAACAAAUAUAAGUCAAGGUGCUGGUGUUUGUAAUACUUCAGAGAGAGGUACUUUGUGAUUUUUCAAAAAAAAAAAAUUCUGAUUAAAUGGUGUAUUAUAUGCUCCUUAUUAUGGAGAACAACCAGUGCAAAAAAUUUGAAGGCCUCUUCUAAUAACCAAAUGACCAAGGAUCAGGGUCGUGAACCUGUUAAUAAUGCUUGAAGGUAUUCUUCAUUAUUUUUCUCAUAUUUACAAAAUUUUAGUUUAGUACUUGAAUCUUUUAAUGUUGUUAACUAAAUACACAACCUACUUUGUGGUUUUUCUUAUACCUACAAAAAUGUUAAUCAAUGAGUUGUUUUUUCUUUCAUUUUUCUAAUUUGUUGCUAGAACUGCGAGGCUCUCUCAUGUACAGACAAGGUUUUUGAGUUUGCAGAAUAUAGUCUAGUUUAUUUGUUAAGAACAAAUAACUAAUCAUGACAAUUUUGUUAUUUCUUUUUGCUUGAAGGAAGUCAUUACUAGUUAUAAGGAGGGUAUAUUUUUAAGUAUCAUUUAAAAAUCAUUAGUUUGGUUAUCCUUUUAUCUCAGGCUUCGUUUAGUUUAUAAAAAUUAUUAGUUUGGUUCUUUUGUUGAUAUUAUACUUAGUUUAGUUUCUUUUAAAAAUCAUUAGUUAUGUGGUUAUUCCAUUAAUCUCAUGAUUGAAUUAGUUUUUAAAAAAUUAUUAAUUUGGUUGUUUUGUUGAUAUUAUGCUUGGUUUAAUUAUAUAGAAAAUCAUUAGUUUGAUUAUUUUGUUAAUCUCGUACUUAGUUUAGUUUUUAAAUAUUAUUAGUUUGGUUGCUUUAUGGAUAUCCCCUUUAGUUUAGUUUCUAUUAAAAAUCAUUAGUUUGGUUAUUCCAUUGAUUUCAUGUUUAGUUUAGUUUUUAAAAAUUAUUAGAUUGGUUGCUUUGUAGAUAUUAUGCUUAGUUUAGUUUCUUUUAAAAAUCAUUAGUUUUGUCAUUCAGUUGAUCUCAUAUUUAGUUUAGUUUUCAAAAAUUAUUAGUUUGGUUCUUUUGUUGAUAUUAUGCUUGGUAGAAUUCUUUUAAAAACCAUUGAUUUGGUUACUUUGUUAAUCUCAUGCUUAGUUUAAUUUUUAAAAAUUAUUAGUGUUGUUUCUUUAUUGAAAUCAUGCUUAGUUUAGUUUCCUGUCAAAAUCAUUUGUUUGGUUAUUAUGUUGAUCUCAUAUUUAGUUUAGUUUUUGAAAAUCAUUGCUUUGUUUGCUUUGUUGAUGUUUUGUUUGGUUUAAUCCUAUUAAAAAUCAUUAGUUUGGUUAUUCUUUUGAUCUCAUGCUUAAUUUAGUUUAUAAAAAUUAUUACUUUAGUUGCUUUAUUGAUAUUAUACUUAGUUUAAUUUCUUUUAAAAAUCAUUAGUUAUGUGGUUAUUCAAUUAAUAUCAUGUUAUGUUUAGUUUUAAAAAAAUUAUUAGUUUUGUUGCUUUGUUGAUACUAUGUUUAGUUUAGUUUCUUUUAAAAAUAAUUAGUUUAGUUAUUAACUUGAUCUCAUAUUUAGUUUAGGUUUCAAAAAUUAUUAGUUGGGUUUCUCUAUUGAUAUUAUGCUUGGUUUCAUCCUUUUAAAAGCCAUUAGUUUGGUUAUUCUAUUAAUGUUGUGCUUAGUUUAGUUUUUAAAAAAUUUUAUUCUGGUUGCUUGGUUAAUAUUAUACUUAGUUUAGUUUCUUUUUAAAAUCAGUAGUUUGGUUAUUCUAUUGAUCUCAUGUUUAAUUUAAUUUUUUAAAAUUAUUAGUUUGGUUGCUUUGUUGAUAUUAUGUUUAGUUUAGUUUCUUUUAAAAACCAUUAGUUUGGUUAUUCUAUUAAUAUCAUGUUUAAUUUAGUUUUUAAAAAUUUAUUAAUUUGGUUGCUUUGUUGAUGUUAUAUUUAGUUUAAUUCUUUUAAAAAUCAUUAGUUUGGUUAUUCUUUUGAUCUCAUGCUUAGUUUAGUUUUUAAACAUUAUUAGUUUGGUUGCUUUGUGGAUAUCACUUUUAGUUUAGUUUGUAUUAAAAAUCAUUAGUUUGGUUAUUUUGUUGAUAUCAUGUUUAGUUUACUUUUUUUUUAAAUUAUUAGUUUCGUUAGUACAUUGAUCUCAUGUUUAAUUUAUUUGGAAAAAAAACUAUUAGUUUGGUUUCUUUGUUGAUACUAUGUUUAGUUUAGUUUCUUUUAAAAAUCAUUAGUUUGGUUAUUCUUUUGAUCUAAUGCUUAGUUUAGUUUGUUUAAGAAAAAAAUCAUUAGUUUGGUUGUUAUGUUGAUUUCAUGUUUAGUCUAGUUUUUAAAAAUUAUUAGUUUAAUUGCUUGGUUAAUAUUAUGCUUAGUUUAGUUUCUUUUAAAAAUCAUUAGUUUAGUUAUUCAAUUAAUCUCAUAAUUAGUUUAGGUUUAAAAAAUUAUUAGUUUCGUUGCUCUAUUGAUAUUAUAUGUUUGGUUUAAUUCUGUUAAAAAUCAUUAGUUUGGUUAUUCCAUGAAUCUCAUGUUUAGUUUAAUUUUUAAAAAAUUAUUAGUUUUGUUGAUGUUAAGCUUGGUAUAAUUCUUUUAAAAAUCAUUAGUUUGGUUACUCUAUUAAUCUCACACUUAGUUUAGUUUUUAAACAUUAUUAGUUUAUUUGUUUUCAUGAUAUAAUUUAUACUAAGUUUAGUUUCUUUUAAAAAUCAUUAGUUCGAUUAGUCCGUUAAUCUCAUGUUUAGUUUAGUUUUUAAAAGUUAUUAGUAUGGUUUAUUUGUUGAUACUACGUUUAGUUUAGUUUCUUUUAAAAAUCGUUAAUUUGGUUAUUCUUUUGAUCUCAUGCUUAGUUUAAUUUUGAAAAAUUAUAAGUUUUGUUGCUUUCUUGAUAUAAUGCACAAUUUAGUUUUCUUUAGAACACAUUAGUUUAGUUAUUCUAUUGAUCUCAUGUUUGGUUUAGUUUUUAAAAAUUAUUAGUUUGGUUGCUUUGUUGAUGUCAUGGUUAGUUAAUUUUUUUAAAAAAAAAUCAUUAGUUUAGUUAUUUAGUUAAUCUUGUUUUUAGUUUUUGUUUUAAAAAUUAUUAGUUUGGUUAUCUUGUUGAUAUUAUACUUAGUUUAUUUUCUUUAAUAAUCUCAUAUUUAGUUUAAUUUUUAGAAAUUAUUAAUUUGGUUUCUUUGUUGAAAUCAUGGUUAGUUUAAGUUUCUUUUCAAAAUCAUUAGUUUGGUUAUUAUGUUGAUCCAAUGUUUAGUUUAGUUUUUAAAAAUUAUUAGUUUGGUUAUUCUGUUGAUCUCAUGUUUAAUUUGGUUUUAAAAAGUUAUUCGUUUAGUUGCUUUGUUAAUAUUAUGCUUAGUUUAGUUCCUUUGAAAAAUCAUUAGUUUGGAAAUUCUUUUUAUAUCAUGCUUAAUUUAGUAUUUAUAAAUUAUUAGUUUUGUUACUUUGUUGAUAUUAUGUUGAGUUUUGGUUCUUUUAAAAAUCAUUAGUUUGGUUCCUCUAUUAAUUUCAUACUUAGUUUAGUUUUUAAACAUUAUUAGUUUGAUUGCUUUCAUGAUAUUAUACUUAGUUUAGUUUAUUUUAAAAAUCAUUAGUUCGGUUAAUCUGUUGAUCUUAUGUUUAAUUUAUUUUUUAGAAGUUAUUAGUAUGGUUGAUUUGUUUAUACUAUGCUUAGUUUAGUUUCUUUUAAAAAUCAUUAGUUUGGUUAUUCUUUUAAUCUCAACUUAGUUUAGUUUUGAAAAAUUAUUAGUUUGGUUGUUUUGUUGAUAUAAUGCACAAAUUAGUUUUCUUUUAAAACACAUUAGUUAUUUUGUUGAUCUCAUAUUUGGUUUAAGUUUUAAAAAUUAUUAGUUUGGUUGCUUUGUUGAUGUCAUGCUUAGUUUAGUUUUUUUUUUUUAGAAAAAAAAAAUCAUUAGUUUAGUUAUUUAUUUAAUCUCAUGUUUAGUUUCAGUUUUAAAAAUUAUUAGUUUGGUUACCUUGCUGCUAUUAUGCUUGGUUUAGAUUGUUUAAUUAGUUAUUCAGUUGAUCUCAUAUUUAGUUUAGUUUUGAAAAAAGUAUUAGUUUGAUUGCUCUAUUGAUAUUCUGCUUGGUUUAAUUAUCUUCAAAAUCAUUAGUUUGAUUAUUUUUUUAAUCACGUGCUUAGUUUGGUUGCUUUGUGGAUAUCACAUUUAGCUUAGUUUUUAUUAAAAAUCAUUAGUUUGGUUAUUUUGUUGAUCUCAUGCUAAGUUUAAUUUUUAAAAAUUAUUAGUUUUGUUGCUUUGUUGAUUUUUCAUUUGGUUUAAUUCUAUUAAAAAUCCUUAGUUUGGUUAUUCUGUUCAUCUCAUGUUUAGUUUAGUUUUUUUUUAAAUUAUUAGUUUGGUUGUUUUGUUCAUAUUAUGCUAUGAUUAGUUUUCAAAAAUACUUAGUUUGAUUAUUCUUUUGAUCUCAUGCUUAGUUUAGUUUAUAAAAAUUCUUAGUUUGACUACUUUGUUGAUAUUAUACUUAGUUUAGUUUCUUGUAAAAAUCAUUAGUAAUGUGGUUAUUCCAUUAAUAUCAUGUUUAGUUUAGUUUUUAAAAAAUUAUGAGUUUUGUUGCUUUGUUGAUACUAUGCUUAGUUACUUUCUUAUAAAAAUCAUUAGUUUGGUUACUAUGUUUAUCUCACACUUAGUUUAGUUUUUAAACAUUAUUAGUUUGCUUGCUUUCAUGAUAAUAUACUAAGUUUAGUUUCUUUUAAAAAUCAAUAGUUCGGUUAGUCCGUUGAUAUCUUGUUUAGUUUACUUUUAAAAAGAUUAUUAGUUUGAUUAUUCUAUUGAUCUCAUGCUUAAUUUGGUUUAUAAAAAUUAUUAAUUUGAUUGUUUUGUUGAUACAAUGCUUAGUUUAGUUUCUUUUAAAAAGCAUUAGUUUGGUUAAUCUUUUGAUCUUAUGUUUAGUUUACUUUUAAAAAAAAUAUUAGUUUGGUUGGUUUGUUGAUGUUGUGCUUGGUAUAAUUCUUUUAAGAACCAUUAGUUGGUUUGUAACACCUAGUACUAAUGACUAUUUUAGUACUUAACUUUAAGCAUGCUUAUUAGGUUCUUAGGGACUAAUUAAGGUUAUGAAAACCUAAAGGACUAAUGGGCAAUUAUGGGUUUUAUUUUUUAUAACUUGAAGGACUAAAGUGCAAAUUUUGGAAAUUUGAGUUAGUGGAAUGCCACCUCCUACUUGGGUGGAUUGGUGGCAGCCAUGUGGGCUGCCACCUCAUGCUUGGGUGCUUGGAGACCCCUUUAUAAGGGGGCUGCAGCUCGUUUUGCACCAUUUCACCUACAGCAAGUUGGGUUAGAGAGAGAAUCUAGAGAGAGAAAGUGUAGGUUUGAGGUAAGCAAGUUGUUUAAUUUUGUAAUUUUCGUUUAUUUUGGUUCCUAAUGGUAUGUUGAAUAGAAUUAACGGUAAAAAUUGUGUAAAAGUUGAGUAUAAUUAGCUAUAAACCUGUUUUAGUUAAAAAUCACAAUUAAUUAAAGAUUAAAGUAUUUUCAGUUAAGUAUUUUAUUAAUGGUAAGAUCAGCAUAAAUCUUUGUUUAAUUUGGUUUGAUUGAAAAAUAGAUUAGUAAACAUGUGAUGAAUUGGGUUAUUUGGACACUUGGGAUUUGUUAAUAGGUUAGGUUUUAAGAAAAUCAAAAGAAUUAGUGUUUGGUAAUUAAUUAGGGAAAUUAAUAUGCAUUGUAAAUAUUGUUUAAUUCAAUUCAAAAUUUGAUCUGAAAACAUGUAGGAUAUAGAUUAGAGAAUGUGAGAAUUAAAAAAUUUGCAACAAUAAACUAUAUAAAUUUUCAUGGUUAGGAAACCUAAAUUAUGUUGUUUCAUUUCAGUUCCUCGUAAUAGGCAAAGAUCGCCUACUUAGAAGAAACACAAAAAGGAAGUCGGUGUAAGGUAGGGAAUUUUAUGCUAUUCUAUGGUGUAUCUGAUUUCUUUCCUUGAAUUAUUUGUUGGAAUUUUAUGUUAUUUCUAUGAUUUCAUAAAAUCUUUUAAAGUGUCAUUGCAUCUCGGUUUAUUGCAUUGAAAUGUUACCAUGAUGUUGGAACGUAUAUUGGUAUGAAGAUUCGUGGUUUUGUGUUGUCGAAAUGGUUUAUGGUGUGAUUGCAUUGCAAGAAGGAUAUGGAAUUAUCACAGAUCAUAUUCAGAGAAUUUAUUGGUGGCAAAGUGCUUAUGUGAUGCUACAGGCCUUAUCAUUUGAUAUAUUGUUUAUGUGGGACCGUGGGUGAAAGUCCCUAAAGCCCUCGAGGAAGACACUCCGAUGUGGGUGUAUGGGGUUGGUCCUGCCCCUGGGUUUUAGUCCCUAAAGACACGGGGUUGGUCCUGCCCUUGGGUAUGAGUCCCAAAAGACACGGGUAUGACUUGCCCUUGGGUGAUGUCCCAGAAUAGUCAUUAUUAUAUUGAUCAAGUAUCUUGUGGAGCAUUGAUAUCUGUUGUCUAGAUUGUUGGGAGUCAGCAAAUUAUCAGUUCUGAAAGGAUGGAUGGGGAAAAGCAAUGAUGAAACCAACAAACACAUGCAUACAUGUUUGACAUGAUUACACAUUUGUUAAUGGUUACGAAAUGUUUAUCAUGCAUGUUAUUAAACGUUUAAUUCAAGGUUUUUAAGGGUAUACUUAGGAUAGUGUGGACCCCGCAUUUCGAUUGCUCGAUGCGUUUCCCACUCGAUGGCGAGCUCGAUUUUUAUUUUUAUUUGAAAAAUUGAUUUUUAUUGAUUAUUUGAAAAUGACUUGGAGUCGCCACUUAUUUUUGUUUUGUUUUUAAAGGGUAAACAAAAUAAGAAAGAAAAACCCUAAGUGUGACUCCUUAUUUUGGAAANNNNNNNNNNNNNNNNNNNNNNNNNNNNNNNNNNNNNNNNNNNNNNNNNNNNNNNNNNNNNNNNNNNNNNNNNNNNNNNNNNNNNNNNNNNNNNNNNNNNNNNNNNNNNNNNNNNNNNNNNNNNNNNNNNNNNNNNNNNNNNNNNNNNNNNNNNNNNNNNNNNNNNNNNNNNNNNNNNNNNNNNNNNNNNNNNNNNNNNNNNNNNNNNNNNNNNNNNNNNNNNNNNNNNNNNNNNNNNNNNNNNNNNNNNNNNNNNNNNNNNNNNNNNNNNNNNNNNNNNNNNNNNNNNNNNNNNNNNNNNNNNNNNNNNNNNNNNNNNNNNNNNNNNNNNNNNNNNNNNNNNNNNNNNNNNNNNNNNNNNNNNNNNNNNNNNNNNNNNNNNNNNNNNNNNNNNNNNNNNNNNNNNNNNNNNNNNNNNNNNNNNNNNNNNNNNNNNNNNNNNNNNNNNNNNNNNNNNNNNNNNNNNNNNNNNNNNNNNNNNNNNNNNNNNNNNNNNNNNNNNNNNNNNNNNNNNNNNNNNNNNNNNNNNNNNNNNNNNNNNNNNNNNNNNNNNNNNNNNNNNNNNNNNNNNNNNNNNNNNNNNNNNNNNNNNNNNNNNNNNNNNNNNNNNNNNNNNNNNNNNNNNNNNNNNNNNNNNNNNNNNNNNNNNNNNNNNNNNNNNNNNNNNNNNNNNNNNAUGGAGGUUAGCAUGGGUAUGUGUUGAUGAAUGGCAACCAUGGGGGGUGGCCAUGCAUGCACGAUUCCCAUGCAUGUAGGUGGGUGGCUUUGGGAUUCCUAUGGAGAUGAGCAUAGCAUGGGUAUGGUGGGCAGCCGGGUAUGAAAAUGGAUGGUUUGCAUGGGUAUGAAGGGUGAUGGCUAUGGGUGCAUGCAUGGGAUGAGUGAUAUGGAACGAGCUAGUGAGAGAAAGGGUGAUGGGAAGGAAAAUGGGUAGGAAACAAUGGGUUUGAUGGCUAUGGGUGCAUGCAUGGGAUGAGUGAUAUGGAACGAGCUAGUGAGAGAAAGGGUGAUGGGAAGGAAAAUGGGUAGGAAACAAUGGGUGCAUGCAUGGGAUGAUUGAUAUGGAACGAGCUAGUGAGAGAAAGGGUGAUGGGAAGGAAAAUGGGUAUCAUGGGGGAGUGAAUAAUGAGAGAAAUGGAUUAGUGGAUAUUGAGAAGGUGGUGGAGAAAUGGAGUGGAUUUUUAAGGCAUGGUGACAUGGGCAUGGUAGCAAAGGAUGAUAAAUGGGGAGAGAGGUAUGGUUAUGAUGCCACUGCUUCCUUGAUAUAUAAACAUGUGCAUGACAAUUUUGAUGGCCUUUGAGACUUCAUGAUUUUGUUGUGCAUCUGAGUUGCUGAUGGCCCGAACUUAUCACUUGCUCCUGUCUAUGAUCCCAGGCCCAAAUCCAUGAGAACAGCCCGAAUAUUCAUUGGCUUGCUGAGGCCCAUAACUUUGCUUCCCAAUUCAAUGGUCCAGUUUUCGGCUGUAGAAGCUGAAGCUAAAAGGGUAGCCAUCUAUUGGCGCAUUGACAGCUCUGUAACUUUACCAGCAUGUCUCCCGCAAACUGAACCUCGUCUAUUGAUUUGUCCAUGGGACAUUUAGGAGGCUUCUCUGCAGAAAACUCUUCACUCUUUCAUGGAUGUUUGACUUGUCAUCUGAGCAAGAAUGGUUAUACGAAACCAUGUAUGAUGAUUGCUCACUAAUCUACUCCAGAAAAGGUAGGCUCUGUCUGACCAAAAGGAAGUUGUAGCUUUGCACGCUAGUUCAACUGUGCUAGCAAAGUGAGCAGAAACCCAUUGCCCAGGACAAGAUCAAGACCAUUCUCUCUAACUAAUUAAUUAUUCAAUCCACAUCCCAGAUCGAGUGCAUAAAAAAAACUAACAAGAUAUGACAAGAACCAGAACAGAGGAGAAGAAAUAAAAAAAAAAAAAAAACAAACAAUCAACAUAUGAACCAAGAAAAACCACAUUUGAUGCCGUUUUCAAUGGGUUUAGAUAGGUGGGAAGAGCACUAGCACACUCAAAUAAGAAAGAGGCAAUCAAUAUCUUCAAAUAAAGCAAAAUGAAAUAAAUAAAAAUAGUAAAUGAAACAAUCACAGGAGGUGUAUAAGCAAACCAUGAAUUAACAGGAUUUGCUUGUGACUUCUGUCACCCAUAACCGAACAAGCAAACUUCCCAAACAGUAAGAAAAGCAGAAGAAAGAACCAUGAUAGUGAAGAUGAACCAAAAGGUCUGCAGUACACUUACCUGAGAACUCCUAUAGAAUGAAAAAAAAAUGGCUCCACUCCCCAGUGCUCCCCUUUCGCUAGUUCUCCCACUCUCCCAGGUAUCUCCUCUUCUUUUCUCCCUCGGAAAAAAUAUCUCUAACGGCCAGACGACACCCCCUCUGCCCUGCAGCUGCAAAACCUCCCCUACUUCCCUAUGCAGCUCCCUCUAAAAUGGAAAAGCACCACCUGAAAAGCACUCCACCUCCAGCUGGCCUGCUACCCCUCAACAACCUGCAGCUUUUGCAGAUUCCUCAUUGCCAGGUGUCAAUCUCUGAUUAGUCCAUCAAUUCCACCAUCUGUUUCUAUGACCACCAACCACAAGGCGACACGUGGCCCUAUGGGACUGCGACACUUGGCAAAAAAAUGGCUGUGGAAAAUGACACCCAAAUGGGGGUCUACAGAUAGUUAUAAACUUUCCUACUGAGUUGUGAACUCACCCUAUUCCUUCCACCUAUAGAUGCAGGUCAGAAGACCUAUGCAGGAAAGAAUGCUUGAGCAAUGCUUUACUGUGAUUGGAUGCUAUUUGCUCAUAUUGAAAGUCUUUUGAGGCCAUGCCUUUUGUAUCAAGACUACACCUUUUGUUGGAAUGAUGUAAUGUAUAUAUUUGUUAGAUACACUUGUAGUAUGGGCUACCCAUAG
rnacentral:lncRNA from 1 species